AAAUAAUAGUUAUUAGAAUAUCGUUUACUCUGGUUGAUGUUAAUACAGUUGACAUAAUUAUUAGGUAUUUAUUAUAACAUAAAAUAAAUAUGAUGUGAAAGAUAAAAAAAUAAGUGUGAGUGACAAAUUAUAAUUACAUCAUCGUUUAACUCGUUGAGUUACAUAAAUUAAGAUAAAAAAAAAUAAAAACGGCAAGAGAGAACCAAACUGAAUUUAUAGCAAAAAAAAUGAGUGACCGCAAAUGUCACAUUAUAUCAUAAUUAAACAUAAUUAUUUUAAUAUUAUGAUUAUAACAAACAAUAAUUAAUCCCCAGUGACGAUUAGAUUAAUAUUUUCAAAUCAUUGAAGAUCCGAAAAUGUAACGGUAUUAAUGUAUUAUCGUUGCUAACGCCUAACAGGUACUUAUAUGUACUUAACUACGAAUACGGCGCAAUAUGACUUCACUCAAUAGUAAUACCGUAAUUUUUCCCUCUGAUCUUUAUAUAGUUGGAUGGAGAACAUAAAGUCAAGAUAAUAGCGAAUAAUGUUCGACGUUCGUACUGUUGCAGGUAGGUAACUGCUGCAGAGGCGUUCAUCAAUGUAAAUUCCCAAUGUUGGUAAUUUUCAAAUUGCCGAGCAGCACUUGCUGUACGUUCCACUAUGGUUUUAGUUACAAAUCCCAUGAAUUCCUGCACACUUUUACGUUGAAAGUAACCAAAUGACUGCAGUUCAAAUGCAGAUUUCAAUAGCGUUGAAUCAUUAGGUCCUUUGUACAACACACUCAUAGCAAACAAUUU